GGAAGUGGUAGCUUAGUGGUUAAGACUUUGGACUCCUGAUCAGAAGGUUGAAAGUUCAAGUCCCUGCACUGUCA